UCUGUCACCUGGCAGGGGAGAUAGCAUGAUCACGAAGGUGGUUUUCCCAGAGAGAGGCUUUUCCAUUGCACUCCGGAUAUGCUGACCCCUGCGAUUUCCCCAGAUGUUUGUGGUAGUGGGGACUGCAUUCACGCUUUCCCCUG
rnacentral:snRNA from 1 species